rnacentral:lncRNA from 1 species
UAGGUCGGACCAGCCUUCAGGCCUCGUACCCAUGUCCACCUUGGCACGGCCUCCCCACUGCCCCCUCGUUAGCCUAUCUCCUUCCACACGGUAGCCGACAUGGCACUGACUCCAGCGUGCCACCACACAUCAGCAGAAUACAACAGGCUGUCACUGCACUAACAGAACUAACGGAAACCACCUGGACCUCAACUGCACAGGGAUUCUUAGAGGGGAAAGAAGAAGGCCAAUCCUGAGGGUUCUGAGGAAGGAACCGCCACAAAAGGGUGGAUGUUACAGAGACCAGCAUGAAGCAUCCACCAGCGACAUGGGCAGUGAUGCUGGUAAUGAGCUCACCAUCGGGAAAGCACGCAAGAAGAGCCCAGGAUACACAGGCCCUCGGCAUCCAUGUCAUGCUGCGAUGCAUCCCAUAGAGCUCAGCCUUCCUGGUUCUAUUCCUCAGGAACUCGUGACUAUUUAGAUGAGUUCUCAGCUUUUAUUCUCAGUUAAUAAACUGAAUUUUCC